rnacentral:rRNA from 1 species
UUCCGCAAUGGGCGAAAGCCUGACGGAGCAAUACCGCGUGAGGGAAGACGGCCUAUGGGUUGUAAACCUCUUUUCUCAGGGAGGAAAUCAAUGACGUUACCUGAGGAAUAAGCAUCGGCUAACUCCGUGCCAGCAGCCGCGGUAAGACGGAGGAUGCAAGUGUUAUCCGGAAUCACUGGGCGUAAAGCGUCUGUAGGUGGCUUAACAAGUCAACUGUUAAAUCUUGAAGCUCAACUUCGAAAUCGCAGUCGAAACUGUUAGGCUAGAGUAUAGUAGGGGUAAAGGGAAUUUCCAGUG